rnacentral:rRNA from 1 species
GAUGAACGCUGGCGGCGUGCCUAAUACAUGCAAGUCGAGCGAACAGACGAGGAGCUUGCUCCUCUGACGUUAGCGGCGGACGGGUGAGUAACACGUGGAUAACCUACCUAUAAGACUGGGAUAACUUCGGGAAACCGGAGCUAAUACCGGAUAAUAUAUUGAACCGCAUGGUUCAAUAGUGAAAGACGGUUUUGCUGUCACUUAUAGAUGGAUCCGCGCCGCAUUAGCUAGUUGGUAAGGUAACGGCUUACCAAGGCGACGAUGCGUAGCCGACCUGAGAGGGUGAUCGGCCACACUGGAACUGAGACACGGCCCAGACUCCUACGGGAGGCAGCAGUAGGGAAUCUUCCGCAAUGGGCGAAAGCCUGACGGAGCAACGCCGCGUGAGUGAUGAAGGUCUUCGGAUCGUAAACCUCUGUUAUUAGGGAAGAACAAAUGUGUAAGUAACUAUGCACGUCUUGACGGUACCUAAUCAGAAAGCCACGGCUAACUACGUG